GACAGAGGGGGCAAGCGUUGUUCGGAAUUACUGGGCGUAAAGGGCUCGUAGGCGGCCAACUAAGUCGGACGUGAAAUCCCUCGGCUUAACCGGGGAACUGCGUCCGAUACUGGAUGGCUUGAGUUCGGGAGAGGGAUGCGGAAUUCCAGGUGUAGCGGUGAAAUGCGUAGAUAUCUGGAGGAACACCGGUGGCGAAGGCGGCAUCCUGGACCGACACUGACGCUGAGGAGCGAAAGCCAGGGGAGCAAACGGG
rnacentral:rRNA from 1 species